rnacentral:rRNA from 1 species
AUUGAACGCUGGCGGCAUGCCUUACACAUGCAAGUCGAACGGUAACAGGUCUUCGGAUGCUGACGAGUGGCGAACGGGUGAGUAAUACGUCGGAACGUGCCGAGUAGUGGGGGAUAACGCAUCGAAAGGUGUGCUAAUACCGCAUACGUACUGAGGUAGAAAGUGGGGGACCUUCGGGCCUCACGCUAUUCGAGCGGCCGACGUCUGAUUAGCUAGUUGGUGAGGUGAAGGCUCACCAAGGCGACGAUCAGUGGCGGGUCUAAGAGGAUGAUCCGCCACACUGGGACUGAGACACGGCCCAGACUCCUACGGGAGGCAGCAGUGGGGAAUUUUGGACAAUGGGCGCAAGCCUGAUUCAGCCAUGCCGCGUGUCUGAAGAAGGCCUUCGGGUUGUAAAGGACUUUUGUCCGGGAGCAAAUACCCAGUGCUAAUAACGCUGGGGGCUGAGAGUACCGGAAGAAUAAGCACCGGCUAACUACGUGCCAGCCGCCGCAGUAACAC